rnacentral:lncRNA from 1 species
AUAUAUAUAUAUAUAUAUAUAUAUAUAUAUAUAUAGCCUCCUAUUUCCAACACUCUUUGCCUGAACAAAGUUUAAGAGUCAUGAGAGGGCCGUGGAUUUUGGCAAGCUCGGCUAGUGAUUGGUUGGGUCUUGAGCCUAGCUCUAGUAGUGAACCGAUUAUGGGGAGAUCAGGGGGACCAGGUGGUAGAUUUCUGGAUUUAGAAUGGAUAUAAGAUUUGAGGAAGAACCAGCAGACAAGUGAGAUGCAGGAGAGAAGAAUAUUAUGAAGUUCCAUUUUUGUAUCUUGAGGAGAGAUGCAAAGAUAUAUAACUCCUUAUAUAAACUUACUAAAAUCAGCUCCAUCUUAUGAAAAUGGAGCAUGGAAAAUGCUACUAGCUAGUAUUACAAUUUUAUAUUGUAACUCUUUUUACCAUUUUUCUGUUUUACUUAUUAUUUUUCAUAACAUUGUACUUUUUCUUUUAAUCAUGUGUGUUUUCAGUCUAACAAAUCCUGAAAACAGACAAUUAAAACGACAUACCUUGUACAUUUCCAUGACACUCGUGUAUGACAUACCUCUGUGAGUUUGUGUAUUUUUCUGGCUUCCAAAAGAAAUAUUGUGAUUGGUAAAAUACCAAUCCUGGAUUUGGCAAUUUUUCUGUGUCUUCACUAGGGAAUUCCGUGAUUCUACUUCUACCUGCCCCCCGCAAGUAGGCUGAGUGGUUUUAAAAUGUGACAAUAUUUUUUCUUGUUCUCUCCUCUAUUAUACUCAAAUUUUGGUUUAAGCUGACAUAAACUCAGGCAAUAAUUACAUUCUAUAUUCCGCAUAAGAAAAAAUAUUGCCAAUACAUUCUACUAGCUGGUAUUACUUCUUUUAGUCCUUUUGAUUUACUAUGGUGGGCUUGAGGACAGGUAUAGGUAGAGGUA